rnacentral:rRNA from 1 species
GAUGAACGCUGGCGGCGUGCUUAACACAUGCAAGUCGAACGAUGAAGCCCAGCUUGCUGGGUGGAUUAGUGGCGAACGGGUGAGUAACACGUGAGUAACCUGCCCUUGACUCUGGGAUAAGUCUGGGAAACUGGGUCUAAUACUGGAUAUGACUUCUCAUCGCAUGGUGGGGGGUGGAAAGAUUUAUUGGUCUUGGAUGGACUCGCGGCCUAUCAGCUUGUUGGUGAGGUAAUGGCUCACCAAGGCGACGACGGGUAGCCGGCCUGAGAGGGUGACCGGCCACACUGGGACUGAGACACGGCCCAGACUCCUACGGGAGGCAGCAGUGGGGAAUAUUGCACAAUGGGCGCAAGCCUGAUGCAGCGACGCCGCGUGAGGGAUGACGGCCUUCGGGUUGUAAACCUCUUUCAGUAGGGAAGAAGCGAGAGUGACGGUACCUGCAGAAGAAGCGCCGGCUAACUACGUG